rnacentral:rRNA from 1 species
UACGUAGGGGGCAAGCGUUGUCCGGAUUUAUUGGGCGUAAAGAGCGUGUAGGCGGCCACACAGGUCAGCUGUGAAAACUCGAGGCUCAACCUCGAGACGUCGGUUGAAACCGUAUGGCUAGAGCCCGGAAGAGGAGAGUGGAAUUCCCGGUGUAGCGGUGAAAUGCGCAGAUAUCGGGAAGAACACCCGUGGCGAAGGCGGCUCUCUGGGACGGUACUGGACGCUGAGACGCGAAAGCGUGGGGAGCGAACAGG